UACAGAGGUCUCAAGCGUUGUUCGGAUUCAUUGGGCGUAAAGGGUGUGUAGGUGGCGCCGUAAGUCGGGUGUGAAAUUUCGGAGCUUAACUCCGAAACUGCAUUCGAUACUGCGGUGCUUGAGGACUGGAGAGGAGACUGGAAUUCAUGGUGUAGCAGUGAAAUGCGUAGAGAUCAUGAGGAAGACCGAUGGCGAAGGCAGGUCUCUGGGCCAUAACUGACGCUGAGAAGCGAAAGCAUGGGGAGCGAACAGG
rnacentral:rRNA from 1 species